GGUAGCGCCGUACAGGUGAGCUCACAGGUAGCGCCGUACAGGUGAGCUCACAGGUAGCGCCGUACAGGUGAGCUCACAGGUAGCGCCGUACAGGUGAGCUCACAGGUAGCGCCGCGUACAGGUGAGCUCACAGGUAGCGCCGCGUACAGGUGAGCUCACAGGUAGCGCCGCGUACAGGUGAGCUCACAGGUAGCGCCGCGUACAGGUGAGCUCACAGGUAGCACCGUACAGGUGAGCUCACAGGUAACGCCGCGUACAGGUGAGCUCACAGGUAGCACCAUGUACAGGUGAGCUCACAGGUAGCGCCGUACAGGUGAGCUCACAGGUAACGCCGCGUACAGGUGAGCUCACAGGUAGCACCGUACAGGUGAGCU